GGCCUAUUUUGAAUAGAUUUUCACUUAUCUAUAUUCCUUUGUUUAUUCUUCUUAUCUGUUUUCUUUCAGAUUAUGUUAGAAACAUCUCAUUAUGAGACUUUAUAUGACCCAUAUGCUAAUAUUUACUCCCAUUUUAAAUAAAUUCAUUUAAGGUGAUAAAUGUCACCUAGCCUCGAUAAGUAAGACCUAUACUUUUUCAUUAUAAGAGGUAAAAAAUUCAGCAAGACAUAGGCUAAAAGAGUUCUCUUAAUAUCAAGAGUGUGUGACUUCUGAGUGGUUGAUUUUUCUUUUAUUUGAAUAAUAAUGGCUGGAGAUAAAAUCUUGUCACGUCAUUUUCACUAUAUACUUAUGCAGAAAUUUUAUAAUAAAUAGUUUAUAUUUAUUC
rnacentral:lncRNA from 1 species